AUUUGCGGUCAAGCAAACUUUUGUUACUUAAGGAUCGUUGAAUUUUCGACGAUACUGUAAUCACAAUUUUGCUUUACAUCUGAGAAUGUUGUUAGUAUAUUAAGUUUAACGAUUUCAAAACGACCUUGAUCUACGAUCGAUAAGCAAAUUACUCAGGAAACACGUGUAUAACGCGUUUAUGGCAGAAGAAACUUAAACACCCAUUCACUCGCACAUCAAAGAUCGAUUAAACGAAACGAUCACGAGGCAAAGAAAUCUUGGUUCACGAUGGUUCACGAUGGUUCACGUUGGAAUGGUUACAACGAUCUAUCUAGUGAUUGCUACUCUCUCGACUCGAUCGCGACUGAGUUGCACAAUCGAGUCUUCGUCGACAUUGAUCCUCGCUCGUUUUCUACCAAAGAAAACGAAAAGGCACAACGAUGACGAUGAUAAUAAAGAUUAUCUUUUACUUGCAACUAUCGUUGGUUGAUGAACCUGGUGAUGUAUAUCCUGCGACAACUGACAUUCUUUUUAAUGCAGAUGAGAAAUGAUGUCUUUGUAAAAUCUUUAGUACAGUGAGGCUCCAAUUUACAGCUUUCAGUGUAGCUUUCUCAAGUGGAUCUCCGACUAUUCCAUCGUCCAACUGAACAAGAGAAUGGCAUGUUGCAAGUACUUGCACACUUUCUAAACGUGCAUCUGAGAUUGGCAUAACAUCUGUUUUACCACUAAAAUACGUAAAGUAUAAGAAUCAAUAAAUUUACUUUUUAAUUUGUAUAAUUACAUACUACAUAAAUUAUGCAUACUCAAUCCCUGCUAUCCCUUCGACAACAAGAUUAUCACUAGUCAAAGUUCCAGUUUUAUCGAAACAACAAAUUUCAACUUUUCCUGCGAAUGGUAUUCUAAAAGGUUCUGUACAAAAUACUCCUAAAAAUAAUUUGCAUUUUAAUAUUAUGCCUACAUGAUACAUAAAUAAGAGAUGAAAGUUAAAUAUUAGUAACAUUUUCUAAAUACCUAAUUUAGAUAAAGCUAACAAGGAAGUGUUUACAGCCAAUGACAAUUCAAUGGGUAAUUCUGGUGGUACAACGGAUGUAAGAAUAAGUGUACACUCUAAAAAUAACUUGUACUUAUUUCUUGUCGGAUCCUCACUGCCUAAAAAUAUUAUUAACAUAAGUUUUCUCCUGUAAAAUAAAAAUAUCACGUUUGAUUAUUUUUAAUUACAAAAUUAGUAGAAUUAAACCUUUGAUCCAAACAUAAGCCGCAGCACCAAUUGCAAAUAUCAGAAGAAAUAGAAUGAAUCCAAAUGUUUCAAGAUUAUUUGCUGUAACACGUUUAACUCCAAAUAAGAUGGUUCUUAAGAGUUUACCCUGUGAUGUUGAAAAUCCAGUACGCAAAACAUAAGCAACACAGCCAUUAUCAACAGCUAAAAUGUACAAACACAAUUUAAUUAUUCUCUUUUAUAUUUCAAUCGUUGUUUUAAAAUGCAUACCUCUGAGACCUGACACAUUUUUACUGGGUGGUGUAUGUUGUACUACUUUUGUUCCUC